CUUCGGGUAUUGAGGAUGGCGGACGGGUGAGUAACGCGUAAGGAACUUGCCUCUUGGUCUGGGACAACUGUUGGAAACGACAGCUAAUACCAGAUAUUAUGAGAUUCUCGCAUGAGAAACUUAUGAAAGCUAUAUGCGCCAAGAGAGAGCCUUGCGUUCCAUUAGCUAGUUGGUGGGGUAACGGCCCACCAAGGCGACGAUGGAUAGCCGGCCUGAGAGGGUGAACGGCCACAAGGGGACUGAGACACGGCCCUUACUCCUACGGGAGGCAGCAGUGGGGAAUAUUGGACUAUGGGCCACAAGCCUGAUCCAGCAAUUCUGUGUGCACGAUGAAGGUCUUCGGAUUGUAAAGUGCUUUCAGUUGGGAAGAAGAAAGUGACGGUACCAACAGAAGAAGCGACGGCUAAAUACGUGCCAGCAGCCGCGGUAAUACGUAUGUCGCAAGCGUUAUCCGGAUUUAUUGGGCGUAAAGCGCGUCUAGGCGGAAAAAUAAGUCUGAUGUUAAAAUGCGGGGCUCAACUCCGUAUUGCGUUGGAAACUGUUUUUCUAGAGUACUGGAGAGGUGGGCGGAACUACAAGUGUAGAGGUGAAAUUCGUAGAUAUUUGUAGGAAUGCCGAUGGAGAAGUCAGCUCACUGGACAGAUACUGACGCUAAAGCGCGAAAGCGUGGGGAGCAAACAGGA
rnacentral:rRNA from 1 species